CAAAGGGAAUGCCUUAGUAGCGGCGAGUGAAGCGGCAAAAGCUCAAAUUUGAAAUCUGGCUCUUUCAGAGUCCGAGUUGUAAUUUGAAGAAGGUAUCUUUGGGUCUGGCUCUUGUCUAUGUUUCUUGGAACAGAACGUCACAGAGGGUGAGAAUCCCGUGCGAUGAGAUGAUCCAGGCCUAUGUAAAGUUCCUUCGAAGAGUCGAGUUGUUUGGGAAUGCAGCUCUAAGUGGGUGGUAAAUUCCAUCUAAAGCUAAAUAUUGGCGAGAGACCGAUAGCGAACAAGUACAGUGAUGGAAAGAUGAAAAGAACUUUGAAAAGAGAGUGAAAAAGUACGUGAAAUUGUUGAAAGGGAAGGGCUUGAGAUCAGACUUGGUAUUUUGUAUGUUACUUCUUCGGGGGUGGCCUCUACAGUUUAUCGGGCCAGCAUCAGUUUGGGCGGUAGGAGAAUUGCGUUGGAAUGUGGCACGGCUUCGGUUGUGUGUUAUAGCCUUCGUCGAUACUGCCAGCCUAGACUGAGGACUGCGGUUUAUACCUAGGAUGUUGGCAUAAUGAUCUUAAGUCGCCCGUCUUGAAACACGGACCAUCUUGGAUCAUNNNCCG
rnacentral:rRNA from 1 species